GACGUAGGGCGCGAGCGUUGUCCGGAUUUAUUGGGCGUAAAGAGCUCGUAGGCGGCUUGUCGCGUCGACUGUGAAAACUUGGGGCUCAACCCCAAGCUUGCAGUCGAUACGGGCAGGCUAGAGUUCGGUAGGGGAGACUGGAAUUCCUGGUGUAGCGGUGAAAUGCGCAGAUAUCAGGAGGAACACCGAUGGCGAAGGCAGGUCUCUGGGCCGUAACUGACGCUGAGGAGCGAAAGCGUGGGGAGCGAACAGG
rnacentral:rRNA from 1 species